GACGAACGCUGGCGGCGUGCCUAACACAUGCAAGUCGAGCGGGGUUGAAGCGAGAGGUAACUCGAGUUUCUACCUAGCGGCGGACGGGUGAGUAACGCGUGGGCAACCUGCCUCAAGGUCUGGGAUAACAGCCCGAAAGGGCUGCUAAUACCGGGUAUGCUUGUGGCCUCGCAUGGGGCUAUGAGCAAAGGGGAAACCCGCCUUGAGAUGGGCCCGCGUCCCAUCAGCUAGUUGGUGAGGUAACAGCUCACCAAGGCGACGACGGGUAGCCGGCCUGAGAGGGUGACCGGCCACACUGGGACUGAGACACGGCCCAGACUCCUACGGGGGCAGCAGUGGGGGAUCUUGCACAAUGGGCGAAAGCCUGAUGCAGCGACGCCGCGUGAGCGAAGAAGGCCUUCGGGUGUAAAGCUCUGUCUGGAGGGACGAAGGAAGUGACGGUACCUCCGGAGGAAGCCACGGCUAACUACGUGCCAGCAGCCGCGGUAAUAUCACGUGUACG
rnacentral:rRNA from 1 species